GAUGAAGAACGUAGCGAAAUGCGAUAAGUAAUGUGAAUUGCAGAAUUCAGUGAAUCAUCGAAUCUUUGAACGCACAUUGCGCCCGCCAGUAUUCUGGCGGGCAUGCCUGUUCGAGCGUCAUUACAACCCUCAGGCCCCCGGGCCUGGCGUUGGGGAUCGGCGGAGCCCCCCGUGGGCACACGCCGUCCCCCAAAUACAGUGGCGGUCCCGCCGCAGCUUCCAUCGCGUAGUAGCUAACACCUCGCGACUGGAGAGCGGCGCGGCCACGCCGUAAAACACCCAACUCUUCUGAAGUUGACCGCGAAUCAGGUAGGAAUACCCGCUGAACUUAAGCAUAUCAAUAAGCGGAGGA
rnacentral:misc_RNA from 1 species